AGCAGCGUGGCUCAGUGGAAAGAGCAUGGCCUUGGGAGUCAGAGGUCAUGGGUUCCAAUCCCGGCUCUGCCA
rfam:Ornithorhynchus anatinus chromosome 2, whole genome shotgun sequence.